AAAACUUGUAUUCUAUUUCACUCAGUCACUGUCUUCUCUCUCUCUUUAAACCCUUUCUCUCGCUCUCACUGUCGCAUCUCCCUCUAAACCCUAGAAAUUGAUGGUGACGAUUACAGUGAUUAUAUUGGAGGUGUCUGUCUCUCACUCUCACGGUUUUUAUGCACCUUAUUCUCAUCCUUGGCUCUUCUUGCUGAAUCUUUGCUUGUUGAGUCCGCUGAGGAACACUCGUCUCUUAUAGCUAGUCAGCGGAAUAAAAAUUGGUGUCCUGUUCCUGAAAUUCUUCUCAAUAGAAGUUUCUUUGCACUUGAUAAGCUAAACUUACUUAAGGUAGAAGCUAAGAAGGUCAGGGUUUUAGCAUAGUUCUUCAUGAGAAAUUGCAGACAGGAGAAUGGAAUGUGAACAGGUACAUGUAUUUUCUACUUCAACCGCGAGAUACACAUAGUUGUUUCUUAAUGACAUGUUCACAGGUGUGUAUGCACGUAUAAUGCACACAUUCACUCGUAUACAAUAUCUCUAUGGGUAAACAACAUAUGUAAUUAGUUAUGCUUAAUUAUAACUUCCCAAGUCAUAUGAGGAACUAAGUGAUGAUUAUUAUAGAUCUGCGCAAUCUCCUCUGAAGCUUGUUACUAGAUUUCCUGAUCAUCCUAAAAUUAGGACAGUACACAGUAUCUUUGUGUAAGAAUCUUGUCUACAGCUUCUUACUUUUAAUUGUUUUAAAUAUAAAAUAGAGUUAGGACCAUACCUUGUAUGCUACACUUUGAGAUACUGCAUACAUAAUUUAACUUACCGUGCCAUUUACUUGCAUAAAUUUGUUUUUUAAUUUCUUUUCUAUACUUGGUGUGCAGUGUAGUAAUGAUUACUAUGAUAAUAGUAUCUCAUUGCACAUUAUAUACACUCUUAUUUGAUUGUACAGGGUAUUGCAUAGCAGUACUAUGUGCAAAGAAGCUUUUAUUUGGCUUAGAUGAGUAUCUGCUUCGAAUACUGAAUUAUGGAUAUUGUUAAUUCCGGAUUAAUUUAUGCUUUAGUGCUUUAUGUGUGUUGUACCUUAUGCUGUUUUGAUUGUACUGGAUAUUGUGUAAUGGUGCGAUCUCCAGAGUGGCUUUUGUUUGUGCCAAAUGAUGAGUGUCUGCUUCAUGUGAUGUACCUUAUGUUUUUUUAUUGUACCAGAAAUUCCGUAGUAGUGUUAUCUUCGGGCUUCACGUGUUGUACUUUCUGCUGUUUUAAUUAUACCAGAAGUUGCUUAGAUAUUGUAUAAUUGAUAAAAUAGGGUACUAAACUCUAGAGCAGCUUUCGUCUGGCUGAAUGAGUAUCUGCUUAAUGUGUUGUACAUUCUACAGUUCUAGUUGUACAAAAUAUUGUAUUGUAGUGUUAGUUGUAGAGCGGCUUUCGUGUCUGGGCCAGAUGAGUGUUUACUUUAUGUGUUGUACCUUCUAUUGUUGGAAGUUGUAGAUUAAUGACAAGUAUUUAGAACUGUAUUCAGUCAGUUUUAUUUUCUGCAAGAUACAUAUACAGUUGUAUUAACUUAUCUCAGGUGGAUGUGAUGUCUGUUUUGUUUAAAA